GGGUCUCCUAUGUGCCUGAGCCCAUGU
rnacentral:piRNA from 1 species